UACGUAGGGUGCAAGCGUUGUCCGGAAUUAUUGGGCGUAAAGAGCUCGUAGGCGGUCUGUUACGUCUGCUGUGAAAACCCAGGGCUUAACCCUGAGCUUGCAGUGGAUACGGGCAGACUAGAGGUAGGUAGGGGAGAAUGGAAUUCCCGGUGUAGCGGUGAAAUGCGCAGAUAUCGGGAGGAACACCGGUGGCGAAGGCGGGUCUCUGGGCCGAUACUGACGCUGAGGAGCGAAAGCGUGGGGAGCGAACAGG
rnacentral:rRNA from 1 species